GAUGAACGCUGGCGGCGUGCCUAAUACAUGCAAGUCGAGCGAACAGACGAGGAGCUUGCUCCUCUGACGUUAGCGGCGGACGGGUGAGUAACACGUGGAUAACCUACCUAUAAGACUGGGAUAACUUCGGGAAACCGGAGCUAAUACCGGAUAAUAUAUUGAACCGCAUGGUUCAAUAGUGAAAGACGGUUUUGCUGUCACUUAUAGAUGGAUCCGCGCCGCAUUAGCUAGUUGGUAAGGUAACGGCUUACCAAGGCAACGAUUCGUAGCCGACCGUAGAGCGUGAUCGGCCACACUGGAACUGAGACACGGUCCAGACUCCUACGGGAGGCAGCAGUAGGGAAUCUUCCGCAAUGGGCGAAAGCUUGACGGAGCAACGCCGCGUGAGUGAUGAAGGUCUUCGGAUCGUAAAACUCUGUUAUUAGGGAAGAACAAAUGUGUAAGUAACUAUGCACGUCUUGACGGUACCUAAUCAGAAAGCCACGGCUAACUACGUG
rnacentral:rRNA from 1 species